rnacentral:rRNA from 1 species
GAUGAACGCUGGCGGCGUGCCUAAUACAUGCAAGUCGAGCGAACGGACGAGAAGCUUGCUUCUCUGAUGUUAGCGGCGGACGGGUGAGUAACACGUGGAUAACCUACCUAUAAGACUGGGAUAACUUCGAGAAACCGUAGCUAAUACCGGAUAAUAUUUUGAACCGCAUGGUUCAAAGGUGAAAGACGGUCUUGCUGUCACUUAUAGAUGGAUCCGCGCUGCAUUAGCUAGUUGGUAAGGUAACGGCUUACCAAGGCAACGAUGCAUAGCCGACCUGAGAGGGUGAUCGGCCACACUGGAACUGAGACACGGUCCAGACUCCUACGGGAGGCAGCAGUAGGGAAUCUUCCGCAAUGGGCGAAAGCCUGACGGAGCAACGCCGCGUGAGUGAUGAAGGUCUUCGGAUCGUAAAACUCUGUUAUUAGGGAAGAACAUAUGUGUAAGUAACUGUGCACAUCUUGAUGGUACCUAAUCAGAAAGCCACGGCUAACUUCGUG